rnacentral:rRNA from 1 species
UGGCUAAUACCGCAUACGCCCUACGGGGGAAAGCAGGGGAUCUUCGGACCUUGCGUUAAUGGAGCGGCUGAUAUCUGAUUAGCUAGUAGGUGAGGUAAAGGCUCACCUAGGCUUCGAUCAGUAGCUGGUCUGAGAGGACGACCAGCCACACUGGAACUGAGACACGGUCCAGACUCCUACGGGAGGCAGCAGUGGGGAAUUUUGGACAAUGGGGGCAACCCUGAUCCAGCCAUUCCGCGUGAGUGAAGAAGGCCUUCGGGUUGUAAAGCUCUUUCGCAAGGGAAGAAACGUUACGAGCGAAUAACUCGUGAUAAUGACGGUACCUUGAUAAGAAGCACCGGCUAACUCUGUG